ensembl:snoRNA SNORA70 Small nucleolar RNA SNORA70
UGGCAAAAGAAAACAGACUGAGCAGGUUCUUUUCCUCCUGGGGUCUGGAGUGCAGUGGCUGCAAGCAGCAGCCUCCUUGGUAGUGUAUGCAGCCUGUUGCAUGUAUCAGUGGCCCUAAGGGACCUUGAAGACAGUU